rnacentral:rRNA from 2 species
UGCAGUCGAGCGAAUGGAUUGAGAGCUUGCUCUCAAGAAGUUAGCGGCGGACGGGUGAGUAACACGUGGGUAACCUGCCCAUAAGACUGGGAUAACUCCGGGAAACCGGGGCUAAUACCGGAUAACAUUUUGAACUGCAUGGUUCGAAAUUGAAAGGCGGCUUCGGCUGUCACUUAUGGAUGGACCCGCGUCGCAUUAGCUAGUUGGUGAGGUAACGGCUCACCAAGGCAACGAUGCGUAGCCGACCUGAGAGGGUGAUCGGCCACACUGGGACUGAGACACGGCCCARACUCCUACGGGAGGCAGCAGUAGGGAAUCUUCCGCAAUGGACGAAAGUCUGACGGAGCAACGCCGCGUGAGUGAUGAAGGCUUUCGGGUCGUAAAACUCUGUUGUUAGGGAAGAACAAGUGCUAGUUGAAUAAGCUGGCACCUUGACGGUACCUAACCAGAAAGCCACGGCUAACUACGUGCCAGCAGCCGCGGUAAUACGUAGGUGGCAAGCGUUAUCCGGAAUUAUUGGGCGUAAAGCGCGCGCAGGUGGUUUCUUAAGUCUGAUGUGAAAGCCCACGGCUCAACCGUGGAGGGUCAUUGGAAACUGGGAGACUUGAGUGCAGAAGAGGAAAGUGGAAUUCCAUGUGUAGCGGUGAAAUGCGUAGAGAUAUGGAGGAACACCAGUGGCGAAGGCGACUUUCUGGUCUGUAACUGACACUGAGGCGCGAAAGCGUGGGGAGCAAACAGGAUUAGAUACCCUGGUAGUCCACGCCGUAAACGAUGARUGCUAAGUGUUAGAGGGUUUCCGCCCUUUAGUG